rnacentral:rRNA from 1 species
UGGGGAAUAUUGCGCAAUGGACGAAAGUCUGACGCAGCGACGCCGCGUGAAGGAAGAAGGUUUUCGGAUUGUAAACUUCUGUUAAGUGGGAAGAAAUACUUCUGGUUAAUACCCAGAGGGGCUGACGGUACCACUAGAGAAAGCACCGGCAAACUUCGUGCCAGCAGCCGCGGUAAUACGAAGGGUGCAAGCGUUAUUCGGAGUGACUGGGCGUAAAGAGCGCGUAGGCGGUUUUGUAAGUCAUUUGUUAAAUUCCACAGCUUAACUGUGGGUGAGCGAGUGAAACUGCAAUGACUAGAGGUUAAGAGAGAGAAGUGGAAUUCUCGGAGUAGCGGUAAAAUGCGUAGAUCUCGAGAGGAACACCGGUAGCGAAGGCGGCUUCUUGGCUUAAACCUGACGCUGAGGCGCGAAAGCGUGGGGAGCAAACAGG